CCUACGGGGGGCAGCAGUGAGGAAUAUUGGUCAAUGGGCUUACGCCUGAACCAGCCAAGUCGCGUGAGGGAAGACUGCCCUAUGGGUUGUAAACCUCUUUUGUCAGGGAGCAACGCCGGCUACGUGUAGCCGGACUGAGAGUACCUGAAGAAAAAGCCUCGGCUAACUCCGUGCCAGCAGCCGCGGUAAUACGGAGGAUGCGAGCGUUAUCCGGAUUUAUGGGGUUUAAAGGGUGCGUAGGCGGAAUGCCAAGUCAGCGGUAAAAUCGCGGGGCUCAACCUCUCUCCGCCGUUGAAACUGGCGUUCUUGAGUGGGCGAGAAGUAUGCGGAAUGCGUGGUGUAGCGGUGAAAUGCAUAGAUAUCACGCAGAACUCCGAUUGCGAAGGCAGCAUACCGGCGCCCAACUGACGCUGAAGCACGAAAGCGUGGGUAUCGAACAGGAUUAGAUACCCUGGUAGUC
rnacentral:rRNA from 1 species